rfam:Fukomys damarensis contig160974, whole genome shotgun sequence.
AGCUUCUCACAGUGGCAGUAUUGCAGCCAAUGAGGUUGAUCUGAGGCAUGAUUAUUGCUAAUUAAAAUCUGAAAGCCCUUUUAUAACCCACCUAUGCCCUAUUUUGUGCUUGUUUCAUGCACAGUUGAAAGUAAACUACAGUACAUUUUA